rnacentral:rRNA from 1 species
CAAUCCAGCCAUGCCGCGUGUGUGAAGAAGGUCUUCGGAUUAUAAAGCACUUUAAGUUGGGAGGAAGGGCAGUAAGUUAAUACCUUGCUGUUUUGACGUUACCAACAGAAUAAGCACCGGCUAACUUCGUGCCAGCAGCCGCGGUAAUACGAAGGGUGCAAGCGUUAAUCGGAAUUACUGGGCGUAAAGCGCGCGUAGGUGGUUCAGCAAGUUGGAUGUGAAAUCCCCGGGCUCAACCUGGGAACUGCAUCCAAAACUACUGAGCUAGAGUACUGUAGAGGGUGGUGGAAUUUCCUGUGUAGCGGUGAAAUGCGUAGAUAUAGGAAGGAACACCAGUGGCGAAGGCGACCACCUGGACUGAUACUGACACUGAGGUGCGAAAGCGUGGGGAGCAAACAGGAUUGGAUACCCUGGUAGUCCACGCCGUAAACGAUGUCGACUAGCCGUUGGGAUCCUUGAGAUCUUAGUGGCGCAGCUAACGCGAUAAGUCGACCGCCUGGGGAGUACGUCCGCAAGGUUAAAACUCAAAUGAAUUGACGGGGGCCCGCACAA